AACUAUCUUGUGCUCAGUGUCAUCACUGCAAAAGCGCUCUUCAGAGGCAAGACGGCUGCCGCCGCUGCUCUCCAACUCAUCAAACCCGGCACAGGCAGGUGACAGGUCGACAUCUAAGGUCUCCUGCGCAUUAUCAGCUCAGGGAUGGAGAAACAAAAACAAGAGCCUGUCCUCGGUUUCCUCCGGCGAUCAGGCCCCCCACUUAGUGUAUUUGACAAGCUGAGUUGGACACUCUGUAUCAGUGAGUGUCAGUUUGUCAAAUACCCCAAGUGAGGUGUCACUUCUCAACAGACAGAGGUUACUGCACAGACAGAAUGGCCGCAACGCUGCGUGGAAAAGCGUUGAAGAACUGCCAGCAUGAUUAGUUGUUUGAUGACACAGAUGUAUUUCUAGGCUUCCACUUUCAGCCUAGAAAUAAGUUGAAUUUUUUUUCCGCAAAGUUCAUCUGACUUGCAUGCAUUUAUUUUGUGAAAGUCUCUCAUUUAUAAACUUACAGAAGAGCAACUAGGUUUUGGAAGAGGCCCAAAAGAGAGUAAAAUAGAAAUGCACUGUAAAUUACUGCUGUGUGAUUAUGUCUCUGUAACAUCAAAGGCAACAAAUAGAAAGGCUUUUUUUUUUUUUUUUUUAAAUGUUGUUAUAGUUGUUUCUUUUUGUUCUUUUUUGUUGUUGUUGUUGUUUUGCAGAGGCGUGGUUGCAUGUGUGCCUACAGCUAAAGUAACUUAUAGUGAGAAGAGAAGCGCCCAGUGCCUCCCUGAGCCACAUGGUAUUUCUGCUGAUCUUUUUCAUUUCAGUGUGCACAUAUAAAAAGUCAAGAUGCAUCAAAUUCCUGUAAUAAAAGUGAAUGAUCAGCGAGCGCAUGCAAUUUCUGCAAGCUCCAGCCUUUCUUCCAACCGUCUUAUGACUUUUCACAGACCACACUUAUCAGACUGUCUUGCAUUUCCUGCAAUUACUCUUGAUGCUUAUAAAUGCAGCUGCAGUAAAAUUUCACCCAUCUUGCUACGGGAUCUGAGCUUUGUUUCAGUAAGCAAAUUAUUGCACUAAGAGAAGAUGUAUUGUAAUUUAGGUUUUGGGAAGUGCCCAAAUUGCACCAUAUCAUCAGGAACCAAGUACUUGCGUUACCACAUUAGCGUCAGUGAUGCAAAUAAAGUCCUACGUAGCACACGCUAGCUGCUUUAAGAAAAGCUACUUGCACUUCAGCCGCAGCUUGCAGCUGAAUUCCAUCUCUUGCACUGCAGCUUGAUGCUCUACUGCCAUGUUUACUUAUAUACUUCAUGCUGAUCACAUACAAAAUUAGUAGUGGAUUUCACCUACAAAAAAAAUAAAUAGAUAACUGAGCUGAAA